UCCAGGGUAGCCUAGUGGAUAUGGCAUCUGCCCGGUAAGCGGAACAUUGUGGGUUCGAUUCCCAUCCCUGGAC
rnacentral:tRNA from 1 species